CAGGAAUGGGGAGGGGAGGGGGGAUCCAUCUGAGCCGCUUGGCGUCUGUGUCUUGUGAUCCUGAAACCCAAGAGCCCCCCCUGACUCAGCAGGUUAUUAAUAACCCCCUGGCUGUGCUCCUGCCGCAGCGCCUGCCAGCCCUGGCAUCACCUGUCUCCUCCGCAGCCAGGCGAGACGCGCACCCCGGGCAAGGUCAGGGGCUCCUUCCCGCUGGCCCCCACGUCCCAUCCCCACCCACAGGGCAAGGCAGAGGUGGUGUGAGGCUCCCAGCCAGCCCCCGAGGCCCCCGUGCCUCUUGGCAGCACAGGAGAGGCUCCCGGUGCUGCUGAAAUUAGCCUCGUCGCACCCCUGUCCCUGGUCCCCUGUUCCCUUGUACCUAAAAUCAGCCCAGGCCCAGUUGCAGAGGAGCUGAGCUGGGUUUUCUGGACCACAGCAUCAGGACCGCCACCUGCCUGCCCCCUCCCUGGACUGGGAGAUGUGGGGUGGCCCCACUGCUGCAGCCCCCAGUGGUGCCCAGUCCCUGUGCCCAUACGGAGGGGCUGGGGUCUGUUCCUUGGUCGCAGCCUUUUUUUUUUUGCCCACGCUUCUUGCCAGGGCUGCGAAGGCAAAGGAGAGGAGCUGCAGGGGACCCUACAGGUAGGUGUGGGAUGUAGGGGAAGGAACGGCACAUUCAGCAAAACCAUGGUGAUGACACAGUGCGGGUUUGGGCUGUUCCACCUGGAGCACACCGGACCUUCCUGGCCCCCUCAUGCACCAGGGGUCCCCAAACACGGGGUCGAUUCCAGCCCUGGGGUGCACGGAGCAGAGAUGCUCGAGCCUCCUCGUGCCCCGGUGGGCAGCAGUGCCCCCCCCCCACAUCCCCCAUACACCGUGCAAACUGACCCCAGGGGCCUCAGCAGAGCUGCGGGGUGAUUUGGGGUGAGGGUGAGCCAGGUGUUGUUUACCGCAGCUGGUGCUCAUUAGCCAGGUUCAUUAGCACUCCCUGGGCAGGUUUUAAAUUGGCAAGUGGGAGCCACCUUCAGGCCUGGGGCAGCCUCGGGUGCAGCUGGAGCCCUGGUUCCUUUCCCUGCUCGCUUCCUUCCCUCCUGCUCUGGUUCUCCCUUCUCUACUCACAGGCCCCAUGUGCUACAGCUGCUGGGAACCUGCUCUGCAAAGCCCUGACGGAGAGGCUGAGGUGUUGCUCUUGCCCCUAUAAAUCCCCUGGCACUUGGAAGAGCAUCCCCAACCCUUCCAACCUCCCCCUGCAGAGGCUGUGUCCUUCCCAGCCCAGUGGCUCGUGGCAGAGCUGGGCUCUUUGCUGGGCCCUGGAGGAGCUCCCCGAGCCCUUCUUGGAGGAAUGGCUCCGUCCAUGGCUUAUUUUCCUCCUGGCUUUGUCCCUCUCCUCCAUCCCUGGUCCUCCUCCUUUGGUCUCCUGUGAGCCCAGCAGGCAGACUUGCCCCUGCCCUUGAUGGGGACCAGAGCUAGGGAAGGAGGCAGCAUGAAUUUCCCCUGAAUCAGCACCUCAGCUCCACUUUGUGUCCUGAGCAAGGGUAUUUGGGCUCUCCAUCACCAUUGUGGCCAUUUCCAUCCUGCUCUGCCCCUUGGCAGGACCAGAUGGCCAAAAACAAGGGACUGCUCUGCAACACAGAUUUAAUUCAGCAGUGCGACCCCUUCCCUUCCCUCCCUGCUGCUCUUCCACCCCCUCCACCUCCCUCAUUUCCCUCCCAGGACUGUUUCCAUCCUUUCCCAUCCCCUCCACCUUUCUCCCCCCAAUUUCCCCCCUCUCUCCCUGUACACCCACCCCACAUCCCAACCCAGCAGCGGGCGAAGGAUUUCGGUCUCCAGCAGCAGGACCACCGCUCAUCUCCUUGAUCUCCUCUCCGGGGACAGUCGAAACACCAGCAAGAACACAUUUUCCCAAUGGUUGAAGCAACUCAGAUGGUGACCAUCUCUGAACAAAGAAGAGCUCAGCCCCGGUACAGUCCUGAGCCAUGAGACUUUACAAAGCUUCGUGGAGAUGCCCUCAGUGCACUGUGAGACACAGGUUGCAUUAGUUUUUUCUUUAAUUGGCACAUCUAUUCCCUUGGCCUUGGAUUGUUGCCUUGGAGAUGCACAAGGGACCUUCAGAGAAGUGCUUAUUACAGCAGCAGGUGUGCAUAGCGCUGACCUGGACAAGCCUGUGUGAGUCACCUGCCGAUGGUUUGGGUUGUAGGUGGCUGCGUGAGUCAUUGAAAGCAAGGGGGAUCCCACAGUGCCCGACUCCUGAAGGGCAGCAUUAAUGCCUUUGGGUGUUUGCUGUUAUUGUGCAUCAACAACAAAUAGCAGAAGAUGGCUUACUCCUCUUCUUCCUCCUCAUUUGCUGACAAGGGCUGUGAAACAGCAUGGUGCUGCAGGGUAGGGCACCUGAAUGUGAAAAGCAGCAGCCCAAAUCAGAGGCCCUCUCUGGAAAUUUGGCUGACCUGUAGCUUUGCUGAUGGAGGACAGUGAGGUCUGGACGGGUAGGUAGCAAGUUAGAAGAGCUGUUCUUAUUUGUGUGUGUGUGUGUGCAUGUGUGCACUUGUCUGGCCAGACAAGAAGACUGAUGGAGAAAGAAAACCGAACAGGCCAGACUAAUACCCUGGUUCCCCAGAGAUUUGGGGUGAGUGGGAGUUUGGUAGUAUCAAGGAGGGUGGGCCUCUCCAUGCAAGUGCUUGUAAGAGCAGAAGCAGAGGGCAUUGGCCUGCUGUCUCCAGAGAGGAAAAAAGUGCUGCAUGGAAGAUGAGAUGGGCAGGAGCAGUGUGAUACUUCGUUAUCCAGAGAAGGAAGGGAUCUGACAGCCAGAUGAUGGUUUUUAGCAGUGCUUGUGCGUCUCUUGGUAGCUCAGUGCCUGGCAACUUCAAUAGCCGUGCAGAUCAACUGUAGGAACAUCCCAUAUGGUCCAGAAAGCUGUUCCUACAUUUCCUCCCUCUGCACUACUCCUGAUGACUGAGAUCAGACACAUCUCUCCUGAGCACCAAGCCAGGUGCCAGCCCUCACCCUGCUCCUGUAAGCCUGGGGAGAGGUGGGGGCCAUUCCCCUGCAGCACCAGGGCUGUGUGCUGCAAAAGCCCUCUAAAGGCACCUUCCCUUCAUAGGGAAGGGCACACAGCAUGACAGCACAGGACUGGUGACCCAUGAAUAAGCUGAAGAGGGCGUUUGCAAGAGGCCAGU